AUUGAACGCUGGCGGCAUGCCUUACACAUGCAAGUCGAACGGCAGCACGGGGGCAACCCUGGUGGCGAGUGGCGGACGGGUGAGUAAAGCAUCGGAACGUAUCCUGGAGUGGGGGAUAACGUAGCGAAAGUUACGCUAAUACCGCAUAUUCUGUGAGCAGGAAAGCAGGGGAUCGCAAGACCUUGCGCUCUGGGAGCGGCCGAUGUCGGAUUAGCUAGUUGGUGGGGUAAAGGCCUACCAAGGCGACGAUCCGUAGCGGGUCUGAGAGGAUGAUCCGCCACACUGGGACUGAGACACGGCCCAGACUCCUACGGGAGGCAGCAGUGGGGAAUUUUGGACAAUGGGCGGAAGCCUGAUCCAGCCAUGCCGCGUGAGUG
rnacentral:rRNA from 1 species